UACGUAGGUGGCAAGCGUUGUCCGGAUUUAUUGGGUUUAAAGGGUGCGUAGGCGGUCUAUUAAGUCAGUGCUGAAAUAUCCCGGCUUAACCGGGAGGGUGGCAUUGAUACUGAUGGACUUGAGUAAAGUUGAGGUUGGCGGAAUUGACGGUGUAGCGGUGAAAUGCUUAGAUAUCGUCAAGAACACCUAUUGCGAAGGCAGCUAACUAAGCUUAAACUGACGCUGAGGCACGAAAGUGUGGGGAGCAAACAGG
rnacentral:rRNA from 1 species